rnacentral:rRNA from 1 species
UACGGAAGGCAGCAGUGGGGAAUAUUGCACAAUGGGCGCAAGCCUGAUGCAGCCAUGCCGCGUGUAUGAAGAAGGCCUUCGGGUUGUAAAGUACUUUCAGUCGUGAGGAAGGUGUUAAGGUUAAUAACCUUAGCAAUUGACGUUAGCGACAGAAGAAGCACCGGCUAACUCCGUGCCAGCAGCCGCGGUAAUACGGAGGGUGCGAGCGUUAAUCGGAAUUACUGGGCGUAAAGGGCACGCAGGCGGUUAAUAAGUUGGAUGUGAAAUCCCCGGGCUUAACCUGGGAAUGGCAUUCAAGACUGGUUAGCUAGAGUCUUGUAGAGGGGGUAGAAUUCCGAUGUGUAGCGGUGAAAUGCGUAGAGAUGUGGAGGAAUACCGGUGGCGAAGGCGGCCCUCUGGGACAAAGACUGACGCUCAUGUGCGAAAGCGUGGGGAGCAAACGAGGAUUAGGAUACC